GAGGGUAUAGCUCAAGUGGUAGAGCACUUGCCUAGCACGCAUGAGGUCCUAGGUUCAAUCCCCAGUACCUCCU
rnacentral:tRNA from 1 species